rnacentral:tRNA from 1 species
GGGGUGGUAGCUCAGGGGUAGAGCGAGCGUUUUCUAAACGCUUGGGCGUUGGUUCGAAUCCCACUCACUCCA